UUUUAAACAAGUAAAAGGUUAAUGCCCUAGAUUGAAACCCUUCUUCCUCGUUUUCUCUCUCGCAAACCCCUCCCCCGAAACCCUUUCUUUGCAGCACCUCACUAGCCUUAGCCGACUCUCCCUCUCUCCGCCGCCGACAGCCGACCAGCUUCUCCCUUAGCCACCGCCCUCCAGUGUCCAGCCGAAGCUGAUCGUCGUUGUUCGAGCCCAGCCGUUUGCGUGACUAGACGCCGCCACUCAUCUCUUUUGCCCAAGCCAGAUGGAGCGUUCGCUGCCCACCGUUCGCGCUGACCAGACGCUGCUGCACGCCAUUUGGAGUCGCCCAGCCUCGCGCCAGACGUCAUUCACCAUACAGUCGCACUGCCCCUGUUCUAGAUCCGGUCAGUCCUCCACUAGAUCUACUGUUUUCAUCCUCAACCGUCGUCGUUCCUUGGGAUUUUCGUUGAAUCAUGGAAUUGGGUGAAAUUUUAGUACUUCAUGAGUUUGUGGUCUCAUUUACCAAUUCACAACAAUCAUAGUGUACAGCAGUUCCUUAAGAUGGAAUUAUCUCAAUCUUUAGGUGGGACUUUGUCCUUAAUUGAACACUCAGUGGGCAGAUGGCUUACACGAGUCUACAUGGAAGAAUUUGGUACAUCUCAGAUUUCCUUGUUGCUGACUCUUGGAACCCCUCACCUGUAAGUUAAUAUUUGUCUCAUCCUUAUCAAGCUUCUUCUUGAUGUUCUUUUAAUUUCCAAACUUUCAGGAUUAUUUCAUUUAGAUUGAUGAAUUUUUAAAGUUUUUAUAUUAUACACUAAGCUUCCAUAAACAUAAUUAUUUUACUCUUUGAUGCUACACUGUCGUUCAAUAGAUGAAUGACAUGAAAUUUAAAUGUAUAUUUUAUCAUAUAAAUCAACUUUUUUCGUUAGAACGAUGGAUCACGUAUUUGAAUGAAUGUUCUGUUGUUUCCUAUUAUCUUGAGCUUUGUUCAAAUUUUCACGUUUAAAUAGCAGAAAAAUAAAUGAUGGAUCUUUCUUAGGCCGCCUCCAAAAGGUGUGCUAUGAGUGAUUGAUCAGACGAGGGGGCUUCUGAAUUAUAUGGACAAAUCUCUCCCAUCUUCCUUCGUUUUGCAGCAAAAGAUAAUUAUUCCUCCUGAGCCUGGAUGUGGUCAAAAGAGAAUGAAUAAAAUCUCAGUUGACUUGCUUAAACAUGGCUUGCCUAACCCUUAGUUCUUGAUCUUUAGACUUCAAAGCUCAAUGUAUAGAUUAAAUAAUAUACUUUGUAGAUAGGUUACUUAUUAAACAAUUAGUCACUUUUAUGUUUGUUGAAAGUUGAGUUUUGUAUACAAAAGCAAUUCUUAGUGAAUAUAUUGAGUUGAUAGAUCUUAAAUGUAUAAUGUUUAUUUAGUUGAUGUAAUUGUAUUGUUGGAA